UGAGGGACGGAACGGUCCCCUCCGACUACACAUGGAGUUCAAAUUACUCCUGAAAGAGAUUUACGUUUGUUUGAAGUAUUUGAAUAAAGUUCCUGUCUCUACAAUCUCCUGUGUGUUUCUGUGCAACUCUGUGACCCAAGCGUGACAAUUUAUUAAUUAUGUUUGCUCCUCCCAAUGACUUGCAUAUCAAAUUAAAUUGGCAAUUCUAACGAUUCCAUAUUGGUCUAGUGUGUAUACAUGCGUGCACCAUGUGACUGAUUUUCCAAGGCCAGUUGCUGAUGUUCAUUUCUUGUUCUUGUUCCUGAAAAAGGUUUUGGCUCCCUAUGACCCUCUUCAUGGUCAGUUCAAACAAUUAAUAAAUGGGUAGAUGAGUAACACUGUAAUGUGAACUUUUUGAGUAGCUAAAAUAUAUCUUUAAAAGAAAAAUCACAUAGCUAGAUGUUUAUAACAAUGUCAAAAAUGUUUUCUCUUCAUUUUUUAGGGAAAUAUGGAUUAUAUAAAAAGGUCUGCAUUUUACGAGCGAGCAAAAAAAGCAGCUGCUGUUGUAGCCACUGGAGAGAUGUCGCUGUACGGCAGCCUGAUUAUAAGGAAAGGUGUGAUUGCUGUUGAAGACCAGAAGUGAUAAAGAGGCAAAGGAAUUCUAAU